GACAGAGGAUGCAAGCGUUAUCCGGAAUGAUUGGGCGUAAAGCGUCUGUAGGUGGCUUUUUAAGUUCGCCGUCAAAUCCCAGGGCUCAACCCUGGACAGGUGGUGGAAACUACCGAGCUAGAGUACGGUAGGGGCAGAGGGAAUUUCCGGUGGAGCGAUGAAAUGCGUAGAGAUCGGAAGGAACACCCAAGGCGAAAGCACUCUGCUGGGCCGACACUGACACUGAGAGACGAAAGCUAGGGGAGCAAAUGGG
rnacentral:rRNA from 1 species